rnacentral:lncRNA from 1 species
UACAACCGCCUUUCUUAAAAAACUAGAUGAUGCCCCGCACGUUGCUGCAAAUUUUUUUACUUAACAUAUUCAGCAACUGAGUAACAACGAAAAGAGUAUCCUGUGUGUGUGUGUGUGUGUAUAUCUCACAGAUUCUUUACUUUCUGGACACCAACAAAGUUAAAGCAUUAUCUAAGAAUGGCACCAAAUGUUUAUCGGUUCACUUGGCAAGGGAAUUUCAACGCUCAGCUAUAACCCGAAAGAAUUUUGCAAACAAACAAAAACCUUAUGGUCUAACUAAAUAACAAAAAAAACACAAUCAUUUCAUUACUUUGUACUAAAUUCAAGAUACUUCUUAUGGAUC